CUUUAGCGUUCUUAUUGAUUUUUCAGAAAACCUCCCUAAAACCUCGCAGCCUCAGAGCCGAGCAAAUCGCAAGUUGGAUCGAAUAUUUUGCUCUCGGCUUCUAAUAUCAAAGGUUCUUCUUCUUCUGCUAUUCUAUCUCUCUUUACUUCUUCGUCUUUGGUCGAAUAAAAUUCACCAAUCUGUGCUUUGAAUUUCUUUUUGGUCAUUUUUGGGACAUUAUUGAGAUACGCACGCCAGUAUUGGGGUAUUGACUCCUGCUAUGAGAAUAUUUGAACUGCAACUUAGUCAAACAAACUGAAAUUUUUGUUAAUCCAUUCCUCAGUGUUUUGGUUCACAAGGGAAAACAGAAAAAAAAUCCGAUUUCAUAGUUUGUGUAUUAAAGGGGAGAAU
rnacentral:misc_RNA from 1 species